rnacentral:lncRNA from 1 species
GGGUUUGGGCUCCAGCCCCAGCCGGGCCCCCUCGCGCCGCUGCGGCUGCUGCGCGGUGAGGUCGUGACAAGUCACAGCUAACUUGCCCUCCGCGCCAUUCCACGCCACCAGGAAGCGCAGCCGGUGCCUCUCGGCAUCGGCGAAGAGGCCUUGCCGGACCGGCGCCCAGCCCUCCAGGCUGUCGAGCUGCUCGUCCUCCAUGGCCGUCGGCGGCAGCGGCCCUAGGACUCGGCGGGCGCGGGCCUGACCUCGUCGCACUGCCUGUCAGGGGACAGUCCCAGGCAUAACUGAAGGUGAAAGGACAGAAUCACCGUGUGUUACUGGCACAGAUGCAUCGGCUAGUGAAGAAAGAAGACAUUCAAACUAGUCCCGCUCUGUCGCCCAGUCUGGAGUGCAGCAGCGCCAUCAUAGCUCACUGCCACCUAGAAGCCGGGGUGAAGCAAUCCUCCUCCAUCAGCCUUCAGAGUAGCUGGGACUACCUGCGCGGCCCACCACAGCCGGCUAAUCUUUGUGGUUUUUCUUUUGUUUUCCGUUCUGGGUUUCCGUCGGGCGCAGUGGCUCAGGCCUGCAAUCCCAGCACUUUGGAAGGCAGAGGUGGGCGGAUCACCCGAGGUCGGAGACCAGCCUGACCAACAUGAAGAAAUCCCGUCUCUACUAAAAAAAAGAAAAAAACUACAAAAUUAGCCGGAUAUGGUGGCUCAUGCCUGUAAUCCCAGCUACUAGGGAGGCCCAGGCAGGAGAAUCACCUAAAUCCGGGAGGCCGAGGUUGCGGUGGGCAAAGAUCACACCAUUGCACUCCAGCCUGGACAACAAGGGUGAAACUCCGUCUCAAAACAGAGACCGGGUUUCACCAUGUUGCCCAGGCGGUCUGGAACUCCUAGGCUCAAGCGAUCUGCCACACUCGGCCUUCCAAAGUCCUGGGAUCACAAGGGGGAGGCACCACGCCAGGCAGAUCUAUUCCUUUCUGGUUACUAAAUUGGACCGGGGGCGCGGUGGCUCACGCCUGCAAUCCCAGCACCCAGGGAGGCGGAGGCGGGCGUAUCACUCGAGGUCAGGAGCUCGAGAUCAGCCUGACCAACACGGAGAAACCCCGUCUGUACCAAAAAAAUAAAACCAAAAUUAGCUGGCAUGGUGGCUCAUGCCUGCAAUCCCAGACACUCAGGAGGCUGAGGCAGGAGAACCACCUAAACCCGGGAGGUGGAGGCCGCGGUGAGUCGAGACCACGCCACUGCACUCCAGCCUGCAAAACGAGCGAAACUCCACUCAAAAAAAAAAAAAAAAAAGACAGUGUUUCACCACGUUGCCCAGGCCGGUCUGGAAGUCCUAGGCUCAAUCGAUCGCCGCGCUCGGCCGUCCACAGUACUGGGAUCACAAGCAUGAGCUACCACGCCAGGCCGAUCUAUUCCUUUCUGGUUACUAAAUUGGACCGGGGGCACGGUGGCUCACGCCUGCAAUCCCAGCACCCAGGGAGGCGGAGGCGGGUGGAUCACCCGAGGUCAGGAGCUUGAGAUCAGCCCGACCAACACGGAGAAACCCCGUCUGUACAAAAAAAAAACACCAAAAUUAGCUGGCAUGGUGGCUCAUGCCUGCAAUCCCAGCCACUCAGGAGGCUUAGGCAGGAGAACCACCUAACCGGGAGGUGGAGGCCGCGGGCUGAAGCAGUGCCUACUCAAUAGAACCAGUCAUCGUGCAAAGACAUGCCACCUGACUCAAAGGCAAAGCCAGAGUGCAGCUUGGAGCAAAGAAGGUAUUUUAUUAAGAAUUUUCCAUAAACCAUAAGAUAUAUUUUAUAUUACUUUGCGAGCCUUCUUCCUGUCUUGACUUAAUUCUUUUUGAGAGAAUUCAUUUCAUUUUCAUUUGGUUGGUUUUCUUCUUGUUACAAAGAUGAUCUAUAGAAAAUAUAGAAGUAUAAGAAAAUUAAAGAUACUAACUGAUAAUUGCUUAAUGAUUUAGUAUCUGCUUGUUUAGUCUUUGUUAUAUUUACAGUAGGCAAACAUGUCUACCGUUGUGAAUUUAUUACUGGUAUGUAUACCCUAGUAAGUUAAAAGUUGUACGUACUUUGAAGUUUUGCAAAAUUGAGUUCAUAUUAUAGAAUUAAUUCCUGAUGAACUUUUAUGUGCUAGGCACUGGUCUUUUUAUUUAAUUAUUUAUUUUUACUUUUUUUUCCUCUGUGCCUAUGCUUACCAAGUCUUUUUAUUUUUUACUUUUUAUUAACUCUUUUAAUCCUCUGGAUAAAUUAAAAAGAGGUUAUUAUUAAUAUCUGCAUUUUGUAGAUGAGGUAACUGAAGGUAGGUAACUUGUCCAAGGUCACAGGUGGCAGAGCAAGGAUUAAAACUAGACAGUCUGGCUGCCCAAGGCCCAACGAAGAGGAGCUGAGAGCAAGCCACCGGGCAGAAGGAUGUUGGUCAGGCUGGUUUCCUGUUCAGUUAACAGGAAACGCAGGCUUAACCUUAAUUCUAGGACGUUACCGAGAAAGCCUUCCAAAGCCAUAGGUUUUUUACCAUGACCAUGACUUCUUUUUUUUUUUUUUUGAGACAGAGUCUCACUGUGUAGCCCAGGCUGGAGUGCAGUGGCGCUAUCUCGGUUCACUGCAGCCUACCUCUCUUGACAGUCCGCUGGUUAAAGUGAUUCUCCUGCCUCAGCCUCCCGAGUAGCUGAAAUUACAGGCGCCGGCCACCACGCCUGGCUAGCUUUUGUGUUUUUAGUAGAGACGGGGUUUCACC